rnacentral:misc_RNA from 2 species
AACGCACAUUGCGCCCUGUGGUAUUCCGCAGGGCAUGCCUGUUCGAGCGUCAUUUCAACCCUCAAGCUCUGCUUGGUGUUGGGCCACGCCCCCGCGGCCGGCCCCAAAGCCAGUGGCGGUACCGCCCGGCUCUAAGCGUAGUACACCUCUCGCUCUAGAGCCCGGCGGUUCCCUGCCAGAACCUACACUCUUAUGGUUGACCUCGGAUCAGGUAGGGAUACCCGCUGAACUUAA